AACCAAAAUGAAUCAUGAAAGAGAAGUAAAGAUAUAUGUAUA
rnacentral:guide_RNA from 1 species